rnacentral:rRNA from 1 species
GUCUUCCUACGGGGGGCAGCAGUAGGGAAUAUUGCUCAAUGGGGGAAACCCUGAAGCAGCAACGCCGCGUGGAGGAUGAAGGUUUUAGGAUUGUAAACUCCUUUUGUGAGAGAAGAUAAUGACGGUAUCUCACGAAUAAGCAUCGGCUAACUCCGUGCCAGCAGCCGCGGUAAUACGGAGGGGGCAAGCGUUACUCGGAAUCACUGGGCGUAAAGAGUGCGCAGGCGGGCGUGUAAGUCAGAUGUGAAAUCCUGUAGCUUAACUACAGAACAGCAUUUGAAACUAUGAGUCUAGAGUGUGGGAGG